rnacentral:rRNA from 1 species
GACGAACGCUGGCGGCGUGCUUAACACAUGCAAGUCGAACGGUAAGGCCCUUCGGGGUACACGAGUGGCGAACGGGUGAGCAACACGUGGGUGAUCUGCCCUGCACUUCGGGAUAAGCCUGGGAAACUGGGUCUAAUACCGGAUAGGACUCCUGGCUUCAUGGUUGGGGGUGGAAAGCUUUUGCGGUGUGGGAUGGGCCCGCGGCCUAUCAGCUUGUUGGUGGGGUAAUGGCCUACCAAGGCGACGACGGGUAGCCGGCUUGAGAGGGUGACCGGUCACACUGGGACUGAGAUACGGCCCAGACUCCUACGGGAGGCAGCAGUGGGGAAUAUUGCACAAUGGGCGCAAGCCUGAUGCAGCGACGCCGCGUGAGGGAUGACGGCCUUCGGGUUGUAAACCUCUUUCAGCUAUGACGAAGCGCAAGUGACGGUAGUAGCAGAAGAAGGACCGGCCAACUACGUGCCAGCAGCCGCGGUAA